rnacentral:rRNA from 1 species
GAGUUUGAUCCUGGCUCAGGAUGAACGCUGGCGGCGUGCUUAAUACAUGCAAGUCGAACGGGGAUCGGUUUUCGGAUCGAUCCGAGUGGCGAACGGGUGAGUAACGCGUUGGUGACCUGCCCCGAAGUGUGGGAUAACAGCUCGAAAGGGCUGCUAAUACCGCAUGUGGUCUUGGGUUUUAGAACCCCAUUUCUAAAGGAGCAAUUCGCUUCGGGAGGGGCCUGCGUCCCAUCAGCUAGUUGGUAAGGUAACGGCUUACCAAGGCGACGACGGGUAGGGGACCUGAGAGGGUGACCCCCCACACUGGCACUGAAACACGGGCCAGACACCUACGGGUGGCAGCAGUAGGGAAUCUUGCACAAUGGGCGCAAGCCUGAUGCAGCAACGCCGCGUGCGCGAUGAAGGCCUUCGGGUCGUAAAGCGCUUUUCUGGAGGACGAGCAUGGACGGUACUCCAGGAAGAAGGCUCGGCUAACUACGUGCCAGCAGCCGCGGUAAACGUAGGAGCCUAGCGUUAUCCGAAAUUUACUGGGCGUAAAGCGCGUGCAGGCGGCUUGGUAAGUGGAUUGUGAAAUCUCCCCGGCUCAACUGGGAGGCGACGG